CCUACGGGAGGCAGCAGUGAGGAAUAUUGGUCAAUGGCCGAGAGGCUGAACCAGCCAAGUCGCGUGAAGGAAGACGGCCCUACGGGUUGUAAACCUCUUUUGUCGGGGAGCAAAGAGAGGCACGUGUGACUCAUUGAGAGUACCUGAUGAAUAAGCAUCGGCUAACUCCGUGCCAGCAGCCGCGGUAAUACGGAGGAUGCGAGCGUUAUCCGGAUUUAUUGGGUUUAAAGGGUGCGAGGGGGGAUGUGUAAGUCAGCGGUAAAAUUGCGGGGCUCAACCUCGUACUGCCGUUGAUACUGGAUGCCUUGAGUACGGUAGAGGUAUGCGGAAUGCGUGGUGUAGCGGUGAAAUGCAUAGAUAUCACGCAGAACUCCGAUCGCGAAGGCAGCAUACCGACGCGCAACUGACGCUGAUGCACGAAAGCGUGGGUAUCGAACAGGAUUAGAUACCCGGGUAGUC
rnacentral:rRNA from 1 species